rnacentral:rRNA from 1 species
UGGGGAAUUUUGGACAAUGGGCGCAAGCCUGAUCCAGCCAUGCCGCGUGCAGGAUGAAGGCCCUCGGGUUGUAAACUGCUUUUGUACGGAACGAAAAGCCUCUUUCUAAUAAAGUGGGGUGAUGACGGUACCGUAAGAAUAAGCACCGGCUAACUACGUGCCAGCAGCCGCGGUAAUACGUAGGGUGCGAGCGUUAAUCGGAAUUACUGGGCGUAAAGCGUGCGCAGGCGGUCUUGCAAGACAGUGGUGAAAUCCCCGGGCUCAACCUGGGAACUGCCAUUGUGACUGCAAGGCUGGAGUACGGCAGAGGGGGAUGGAAUUCCGCGUGUAGCAGUGAAAUGCGUAGAUAUGCGGAGGAACACCGAUGGCGAAGGCAGUCCCCUGGGCCUGUACUGACGCUCAUGCACGAAAGCGUGGGGAGCAAACA